rnacentral:rRNA from 1 species
AACCCUCGACCUUAGUUGCCAGCAUUCAGUUGGCACUCUAAGGUGACUGCCGGCUAAAAGUCGGAGGAAGGUGGGGGAUGACGUCAAAUCAUCGUGCCCCUUAUGACCUGGGCUACACACGUGCUACAAUGGGCGGUACAAAGGGUCGCGAACCCGCAGGGGGAGCCAAUCCCAAAAAGCCGCUCUCAGUUCGGAUUGCAGGCUGCAACUCGCCUGCAUGAAGCCGGAAUCGCUAGUAAUCGCGGAUCAGCAUGCCGCGGUGAAUACGUUCCCGGGCCUU